UGACACAUAUUUCAAGUCCUCACGAUAAAUGUGUCCACACUUAAUAUCCUCAGCACUCUUAAAAGGAAGCAACAGCGGCCAUACGCUUGGACAGAGAGGGGGAGAGAGAGAAAGAGAAGAUAGGGGGGGAAGGAGGGAGGGAGAGAAAGAAAGAAAGCGAGAGAGUGAGGUGAAAAAAGAGGGCGGAAAGAUGGAGAAACUGUCAGGCGUUUCCUUCCCCCUCUCUUCGGUGGAGGAAACAAGCACGUCAAGGAGACUAACCUGUCGGUCGCUGCUAGCUGCUCUUAACUCGACGCCCAAACGCCUGUGUCUGCCUCGAAGCUUAUCAGCGCCUCCCAGACAGUGAUUUGAGUGCGUGGAGAGUGCAGAGGAGCGCUGAAAAGAGAAGGAAGAGCAGGGAGGUGAGGAGCUGCUAUCUUUGGUGGGUUAGUUGGGAGGCGAUAAAGGCACCGCUUUAAUUUCCCCUUCCUCUCAACCGACAAUCCUCAUCCAUCUGCUGCUUUCCUGUUGCAACCUACUGGGGUUUAAAUCUACUUGACUUAGAGACAAGCUCAACACUGAAUAGCUCCCGGUAGCAGAUGGCUGAGUUAUGCUCUGCAGAGAAAACUCCAAGACUCUGGAGUCUCCAUAAUGAUCCUUCAUAACUUUUCAUGGUCACGACGCGUCACCGUUGACGUCUGGCAGACUGUUUCCAGUUAAAUGCCAUACUAAACCCCUUACCGAACCAGAGAAACUUCCAUUCUUUGUGCUCUGUAACACCCAAUAAUACACAUUAAGCCUUUCAUUACAUUUCAAUAAACUGUGUGCCAUGCUGAGUGCACUAUGACCCCAGAAUGUCAUGAUUACAUGUGCACUUCUCCUUGGUUUUGUCACUACUUCUUAGGAAACAGAAACUCAGGAACCUAAACCU